UCUCUGUAUAGUCCUGGCUGUCCUGGGAUUCACUCUGUACAUAAUGGCCUCAAACUCAGAGAUCUGCGUGCCUCUGACUCCCCGGUGCUGGAUUAAAGGGUCUCACGAGGUCACUUGCCAGGCAUGGAGCUCACUAUGUACGUCCAGCUUUCUUCAGAUCUUUACUGUCCUACAAGCAAAUUCUCACUAUCCAAAAUGGCUUUGUGUGAUCCCUGCCUCCCAAAUGAUCCCUGAUUGGCUAAUAAACUUGCCUACAGCCUGGUCUGGGCAGAAAAGAGGUAGGUG